rnacentral:SRP_RNA from 1 species
GCCGGGCGCGGUGGCUCAAGCCUGUAAUCCCAGCACUUUGGGAGGCCGAGAUGGGAGGAUCACGAGGUCAGGAUAUCGAGACCAUCCUGGCUAAUACGGUGAAACCCCAUCUCUACUAAAAAUACAAAAAUUAGNNNNNNNNNNUUUCACCGUAUUAGCCAGGAUGGUCUCGAUAUCCUGACCUCGUGAUCCUCCCAUCUCGG